CGGGUAGCCGGCCUGAGAGGGCGACCGGGCACACUGGGACUGAGACACGGCCCAGACUCCUACGGGAGGCAGCAGUGGGGAAUAUUGCACAAUGGGCGCAAGCCUGAUGCAGCGACGCCGCGUGAGGGAUGAAGGCCUUCGGGUUGUAAACCUCUUUCAGCAGGGAAGAAGCGCAAGUGACGGUACCUGCAGAAGAAGCGCCGGCUAACUACGUGCCAGCAGCCGCGGUAAUACGUAGGGCGCAAGCGUUGUCCGGAAUUAUUGGGCGUAAAGAGCUCGUAGGCGGUUUGUCGCGUCUGGUGUGAAAACUCAAGGCUCAACCUUGAGCUUGCAUCGGGUACGGGCAGACUAGAGUGCGGUAGGGGUGACUGGAAUUCCUGGUGUAGCGGUGGAAUGCGCAGAUAUCAGGAGGAACACCGAUGGCGAAGGCAGGUCACUGGGCCGCAACUGACGCUGAGGAGCGAAAGCAUGGGGAGCGAACAGGAUUAGAUACCCUGGUAGUCCAUGCCGUAAACGUUGGGCACUAGGUGUGGGGCUCAUUCCACGAGUUCCGUGCCGCAGCAAACGCAUUAAGUGCCCCGCCUGGGGAGUACGGCCGCAAGGCUAAAACUCAAAGGAAUUGACGGGGGCCCGCACAAGCGGCGGAGCAUGCGGAUUAAUUCGAUGCAACGCGAAGAACCUUACCAAGGCUUGACAUACACCGGAAACUUCCAGAGAUGGUUGCCCCGCAAGGUCGGUGUACAGGUGGUGCAUGGUUGUCGUCAGCUCGUGUCGUGAGAUGUUGGGUUAAGUCCCGCAACGAGCGCAACCCUCGUCUUAUGUUGCCAGCACGUCAUGGUGGGGACUCAUAAGAGACUGCCGGGGUCAACUCGGAGGAAGGUGGGGAUGACGUCAAAUCAUCAUGCCCCUUAUGUCUUGGGCUUCACGCAUGCUACAAUGGCCGGUACAAAGGGCUGCGAUACCGCGAGGUGGAGCGAAUCCCAAAAAGCCGGUCUCAGUUCGGAUUGGGGUCUGCAACUCGACCCCAUGAAGUCGGAGUCGCUAGUAAUCGCAGAUCAGCAACGCUGCGGUGAAUACGUUCCCGGGCCUUGUACACACCGCC
rnacentral:rRNA from 1 species